GCAAAGGCAGUGAUGAGGCCGGAGUUAAGUAUGCUAUUAUAUGGGAAAAGUUAAGAGGGUAACUCUGAGAGCAGUAGAUGGUGACAGGGAAGAAAGUUAUGAAACCCGCUUCACCCCACCAGGCAUCUCUGUGACCUGCAUGUGGUCAAGUCCAGGCUCAGAGGAGGUCUUAAGACCCUCCUUUGCAAAGGGUCCUGCCUCAUACCCUGAGGGAAGGAAGGCUUCGGUAAAAACCCAAGCAGACUGGGUUAGGAGAGCUUCCUGACAGCUGUACACAUGGAGGCUCCUGGAGGGCUGGCACACCCAGAGGGGGCUUGGAAACUGCGUGCCCCUUCUCCCAAACCUCACCCUACACAUCUCUUUCUCUGCAUCCUUUGCAAUAUCCUUUAUAAUAAACUGGUAAACAU
rnacentral:lncRNA from 1 species